rnacentral:rRNA from 1 species
CAGUAGCCGCGGUAAUACGGAGGGUGCAAGCGUUAAUCGGAAUUACUGGGCGUAAAGCGUGCGUAGGCGGUUCGUUAAGUCUGUUGUGAAAGCCCCGGGCUCAACCUGGGAAUGGCAAUGGAUACUGGCGAGCUAUAGUGUGUCAGAGGAUGGUGGAAUUCCCGGUGUAGCGGUGAAAUGCGUAGAGAUCGGGAGGAACAUCAGUGGCGAAGGCGGCCAUCUGGGACAACACUGACGCUGAGGCACGAAAGCGUGGGGAGCAAACAGGAUUAGAUACCCGCGUAGUCCCUGUCUCUUAUAC